CAUAUUUUUUGACAUACCUCGUAUACUGUUGACAAAAUUUGAUAUCUGAUGAUUGCAUCUUAGGUUUUAGACUGGGCAGAGCACUUUAUAAAGAAUGACUUUUUUUCGUAAAAUUGAUAUUAAAAAAGUUUCCCAUAUGGUUCCAAGUUACGCAGACACCCUGUAUAUGUGUCUGAGGAUUUUUCGUUCAAACGUACCUAAUAAGUUCUCAUCGCUUUUCGACAGUGUCCAUGUCUCUGAUCCAUAUAUAAGGACCGGUUUUAUCAGGGUUUUGUAUAUUUUGCAUUUGGUUUUUCUCGUGAUGUUGUUAGAUCCUAGAUGUUUAAUUAGUCCAUUAUGUGGUCUCUCACAGAGUAGUUAUUUCGAUAUGCGGCCACCACUAAAUAAUGUUAAUGCAUUUAGUAAAUUUUGCAUCUACUCGUAUAUACAGUAGGGUGCAAAUGAAAGGAAUAAAUUUGUUAUUUCGUAAACCGAUGACAUUAGGGAAAAUCCCGAAAGAGGCCGAUUUUUGUUUUUAAAUUAUAUUUUGGCAUACAUAUCAUACUAGUGUCGUCAUCCAUCUGGGUGUGAUGACGUAAUCGAUGAUUUUUUUAAAUGAGAAUAGGGGGAAUUUGGUGACAUCGGCAGAACAAGUUUAUGGAAAGUCCUACAUAACAUAGGAUUCAAAUUUAAAAAAGAGGAUAACAGAAAAGCGCUUUGUGAAAGAAGUUAUGUUGUACACAAGAGAAUUGAGUUUCUGAGAAAAUAUAACAAAUUUAAAGAAAAAGAGUCAACUUUUGUAUAUUUAGACGAAACAUGGAUAUUUUCUAAGGGUGCUACCAAGAGAAUAUGGUAAGAUGACAACAUAAAAUCGAUCAAGCAUACUAGUGGAGAAGGGAAGCGACAUAUAAUUCUGCACGCGGGAGGGAAGACAGGAUAUAUAAAAGGUGCUAAUUUAAUAUUUUCGUCUACAUAAAAAACAGUGACUAUCAUGACAAUAUGAACACGGAAAUGUUUGUGAAAUAGUUGCGUGAAAAACUUCUUCCCGGAUUAAGUGAGCCCAGCGUAAUUAUUUUAUACAAUGCGCCUUACCAUUCAGAAAUACUAAACAAAAGUCCAGCAAAUUCGUGGAAUGUAGAUAAAAUUAAAGAAUGGCUAAAAAAUGAACGCAUAUCUAUUCCACAGCUUAUAUUAAAGUAUGAGUUGUUACGUUUGGCAAAAGAACAUGCGAAACCAAAAAUCUUUCUGGUGGUUCAAGUUAUUGAAAGUUACGGGCAUCAAGUUUUACAUCUUCCACCACACCACUGCCAGUUUAAUCCCAUCGAAAAUAUAUGGGGAACAGCAAAACAAUAUUACAACCAUAUUAUGGUCCUAUAGUGGUUAUACUGACGAAGCGGUUUUUGAAACAUGGCGAGAAGCACUUUCAAUUGCAACUCCAGAAGUAUGGCGGAACUAUAUAUCCAAGUGCGAAAAAUUAAUUAAGGAUUGGUGGAUUCGUGAAAAUAAAAUUAACGAAAUAAACCCAAUCAUAAUAACAAUUAACGGUGACCCCAGCGAUGAAGAUGAUAGUGUGAACAAUAAAGUACUAAAUCAUUUUAGUAAAAAAAAAUUGGUACGUAUAUUGACUUAAUAAUAUUUAGGAGUUUACUUGAAUAUUUGAUGUUUAUAUGAUGCCCUGCUGUAGGAUUUCCGGAUUCUUUUCAAGGCGUGAUCAUUUUAGUAAGUGUGAUUUGUUUGAAAUUGAAACUAUUUGUAGAUAUUGUAGUUACAUACAUAUUACAAUAUUGUUUUUAAUAAUUUUUAUUUACGGGGAAAAUACCCCAUUAUACAUAAAAACUAUUAAAUAUACAUAACUAACAAAGAAAACUUAUUGACUAUAGGCUGCAUUGCGGCUGCUUUAAUAUAUCACUUAAAUUGAUUGUGACUUUAUAUAAAACCAUUUUCGAGAUUAAAUUAAAACAUCAACAAUACAGCAACGUUUAGCCUUCUACCUUUUAUAAGUUAAAAUUUGUUUUAUUUUUAUUAUAUGGAUAUUCAUGCAACAAUUAAAAUUAGGUAUACUGAUUUUUUGCUACGGGUAAUGAUUAGUAAUGAACUGUUGUAAAGAAUCAUGAAAUUAUAUCGUUUAGGCUUGUGAGGCUAAAAUUUUAAAUUAUUUGAUUUAUAUAAGAACAUCCCCUCAAAUAAAAAAUGACUGCGCCAAUGUGUAAAUAGUCAAACUACAGCGGACCAGUCAAUUCGUUCAUUUCUUUCUUAAUCCGUGACCGGUAGUGUAAGCCUACCGAAUAGACAACUUUUUUAUUUGCGUACACGUUAGCGUGUACCUAGACACAGCGGAUUUUUAGUUAAGUUAAAACCAGGUUUAUUCAUAAUCCUCAAACCAGGAGAAAUUAAAUGUGUUAAGUUAAAAGUGAAAAUUAUUCUGGCCAUGGUGUAUAGUGAUGUUGAAAAAGUAACUAUUCGUUACAAAGUACUCGUUACUUACGAAUACCGAAAGUACCGAUUACUAUACAGAGAGGCAAAUCGUUACUUUGAUUACUCUGAUUACUUCGUUACUUUGUACCAAUCGUAUCAGAGCGGGUAACGACUAUUGUAUCUACAACCAGUACACUUGAUUACUUUCUAUAAAAAAAAUACUAAUCGUAUCCUAGCGAGUAACGGACGGGACCGGUAUUUUACGAGUGUUAUGGAAUAUCGUUAUCGGUAUGAAGCGUUUUAAGGGUGUGACAGAAUACCUAUACAAAAUACCUUCCUACUGAGAAAUACGAUUCUCGAUAUGAUUAUCGGUACUCGAAUACAAAAGUAACAAAAGUAAUCAUAUAGUAAUCAAAGUAACGAAUACUGUAAAUGAUUACUUUAUACAAAAGUAACGAUUUAUCCCUUAAACAGAUCGGUGAAGGUCGUUGUUAUAUCGAAAUACCUAUACAAAAUAUCUACCUACUGAGAAAUACGAUUCUCGAUAUGAUUACCGGUACUCAAAUACAAAAGUAAUCAUAGUAAUCCAAAGUAACGAAUACUGUAACUGUAAAUGAUUACUUUAUACAAAAGUAACGAUUUGGAACGAAUCCUCGAAAGUAACUAUAAUCAACAUCACUACUACGAAUAAAAAUUCCUUUGCAUUGCCCCUACAGUGUAGGCAAGCACAACCGUCGUUAAUAUCGUUUUUCUUUAUAAAAUUUUCAAUUUUCAUUAUUUUCAAUUAAAGCCAGUUUAUUUAUACUCCGCAAACGAGGAGCAAUUAGGUGAUAUGAUUAUUUAGCAAUUUUACGGCUUUUUAUACCCAGAAAAUGAAAAUUUAUUCGAAAUCUCAACUUUUUAUUUGGUUAUAUCUCGAAAACGGAAAAUCCCCAAAUGAAAUUUCAAAGGAGGGAUUACCUUUAAGUCAGGAGGAGUUAUUUUGACUAUGGUACAUACUACUUUUAGCCUUAAGGCCCCGUCUCACCAUCAAAUAAUUGACAGUUAUUUGAUCAAACUUGACAGUUAGUGACACACUCCCAAGAACCGACACAAACGGAUUAUCUAUGAACUAAAUUUUUAUGCGCAUGUGCCAGAUCGGCCAUUUCUCAAUUUGUAUGAAUAGCAAAUAAUUUUGGUGACAUUUGUCUUGUACAGGAUCGGCGUUUGUUGUCACAGUUGUUUGUUUGGCUUGGCGUUAGUAUUUUGUUUUUGUAUCAGUUUGUAGCUCAUAAUAUUUUGUAUAGACUUAUUUUCUAUAUAUAUUUUCUUAUAUAACCUACAACUAUUAAUUGUUAUUUUCCAACAUUUAUACAAUUUAAUUCUUUUUGAGAUAUCUUGAUUAUGUGAAUUAAUUAUUUUAAGCUUUUUCAUGAACUAUAAACUAUCGUAUAAAAAAAUAAUUUUGUAUUUAUUGGGAUUUCACAAAGAAUUUGAAUCUAAAAAUACAAAUUCUCUAACCUUUCUUUGACCUCUACUGCUGUGUUUAACAAGUUGAGAAUCCAAUACUCACAAAAACUUCCAUAAAGUACUUUUAUCAGCAAACCUAAAUUAAAUUUAAUAAACUAUGUUUCAUUAAAUUGUUUCUGUAGUUUGUAUAAAACAAUAACUUAGGUCAAAUAUAUAAAACAAUUUAUGACUGACUACUUGAAAUUCAGGAUUUUCAGGAGUAACAUUAUAUAAUUUAGCUAAUUCAAAAAGUUUGAUCCAAUAUUACUUGAAAUUGUUUCAACAUUCAAGUUAAUGCUUGAUAAUUGACAAUACACUCUUCAUAAUAGGUUUACAUUCUCUUGAUUAUACUUGCGUUCCAACAAAAAAAGCUAAAGGCUGCUUUCAUAUGGAAUAUAAGCUUCUGACCAUAAUGAUCAAAACGUUUCCAUAUAUAUAUAUUAAUUAAUAUAUUAAUUAAAAAAAUUACUUUUUCUCUUUUCUCGAUUGCUUAUUAGUUUUUAUUGUAUACUAUAUAUAUUUUUUCAGUUAUUACAUCUUUAUAUUUAUAGAAAAAAAAUAGUACAAUACUUAUUGGUUUUUUAUUUAUUUACCCCGAUAUUCGACUUUAAAGAAUGUACUGGCUGGUUUUGGCUGGAAUGUACGGAAUGUUUUGGCUGGUUUCCAAGACAAUAAAAAUUGAAAAUAUUGACAUUCGAUUUUAAUAUACAGUUUCUUGUUGUUGAUCACGGACAUUUGUCAUCCAAAAAGAAUUGGAUUCCGUGACGGUUACAACGGCUGUUAUUUUUCGAUUAUUUUACGAAAUAACGAAUAUAAUGAAUUAGGAAAUACCUCGACAAACAAGUAAUUGGUCCUAGGUUUUCAUCCAAAGUAAUCGAAAGUAGAACUGGAAGUCGAUAUUGGAACUCUUCGUGUAACUUUGCGUCGAUUGAUCUACGAUUUUACUAAUUUUGUCAUCUUGUUUUACAUUCAUAUCAUAUUUUGAGUGACUUUAAAGCAGUACCUACGGUUGUAACUCUAAAACCGAAGUCCGAUGUCAAAUUUCUCAUCUUUAAUACCAUCCAUGGGUUAUAAGCUUUCAUUCGACACCUCAUUUGUCAUUCUAUCUGUAUUAGUAACUGAGGAGUUGUAUUCGCGGUCGGACGGACAGACAGUCAUGAAACCAGAAGUAUAUAUUUGUUCUCGUCUUGCGAAUGCGCGUCGAAUAAUGUAUCACUUGUGCUAUUGCGGUGACUUUAAAAGAGUACUUCCGGUCGCAUUUCUAAAACCGGAAGUCCUAGGUCAAAUUUCCUACCUUUAGUACCAUCCAUGUAUUAUGAGCUUUCAUUCGACACCUCAUUUGUGAUUCUACCUGGUAUAGUAACGGAGGAGUUACAUUUCCGGUCGGACGGACAGACAGUCUAGGUCAAAUGUCUCACCUUGAGUACCAUCCAUGGAUUAUAAGCUUUCAUUUGACACCUCAUUUGUCAUUCUACCUGGUAUAGUGACUGAAGCAGUUAUAUUCGCGGUCGGACGGACAGACAGCCUAUUAGGUCACACCAAGUCGUUCAAAUUCUCACCAACUUGUUCACACUUUUUCAAAAUUGGUGAAAACAACAAAUUAUAUUUUGUAUCGUUGUAUCAAUAUAAGCCAAAAAGAAUAAUUAGUGAAUGUCACGCCACUAUAAUAUAUUUUAUUAUUGGUCUUUCAAUGCUAAAAUCAGGAUAAAAAAGGUAUUUUAUCCAUGGUUUUAAUCAAUAUAAUUCUCACCAUUACUUUGUGUUGUAUUUGCAACCUUUUGUAAAUCAAAAAUAAUUCCACCAUAUUAAGAAUGUCAACAAAAGCCGGCCCUGCAUGCAACCUUUCUCUCAGUGCAACUAAAAUUUUAUUGAUACACGCCAGAAAUGUGCGAGACUUUUCUCAGUGUACUCGCGUGUACACUUGCCAACUCGAUACUAAAAUUAAGUACAUGCUAACAACAAAAGAAUCGCCGUCCGUGUCGGUUCUUGUGAGAGAUAUGUAUUCUUUGCACAAAGUGACAGUUAGUACGUAUAGUUUGUGUCACUUGUCAAGUUUGACUGUCAAGUUUGAUCAAAUAACUGUCAAUUAUUUGAUGGUGAGACGGGGCCUUUACAGUUUAGGUUUACCAAAAGUGAAAAUUAUUCUGGCAUUCCUUUGCCCCUACAGUAUAGGCAACCAACAUUAAUAUCGUUUUUCCUUUAUAAUAUUUUCAAUUUUCACAAUUUUCAAUUAAAACCAGUUUAUUUAUAAUCCGCAAACGAGGUGCAAUUUUUUGAUAUGGUUAUUUAGUGACUUUACGGCAUUUUAUACCCUGAAAAUCGACAUUUAUUUUUAGCGCUGCGCCGAAAUCUCCACUUUUGAUUUGCUUAUAUCUCGAAAACGGAAACUCCGUAAAUGAAAUUUUGAAUGGUGCAAUUAUCCGCAAACGAGGUGCAAUUUUUUGAGCUAUGGUAGAAGUCAAAAUAACGACUUUGAAAAAACCGUUUCGCUAACUUUAUGACGCUGCAAAGGGACAAGGAACUUCCGAAUAUGGCCUAACUGGGGGCACAUAACAUAACAUAACCUAAUCCUAAUAUUUACAUUUGUAAAGAAUAUCCUGUUUGUUUUUAUUGUCGAUUGUGCAGCGAAAUUGUGUGCAGCAAAUCAAAUAUAAAGUAGUUUAUCGCCUACAGAACUGAAUUAGUCCAUAGCAGUUAUCAGUUUUUCUUUCUUGGGAAGCUUAUACAUGUAACUUGUAUUGUUGUAAAUUGUGGGAGUAGGGCAGACAGGGAAAAGUCUUAUUUUGUACUGUUCCCAAGGCUCCCCAUGCAAUACAUUUAAAUGAAUUAUCCAAACAAAGCCGGGGACAAUGGAUAAAAGGCACAAGAAGAACAGAUAUAAGGGAACUAAAAUUAAAAUAUGAAAAGUAAACAUUUUAUAAGUGGAACAACACCAGAUAUUUAAAAGGUAUAAAAAGAAGAAACUGCUGGAAUUUCAAAACAAAUGUGUUUGACUAGUAAAGAUUUGGAUAAAUAACAGGAGUUACUUUGGGCUAUAGCUACGUGCAGAUUUAUUUCCUUGUGGCUUCCUAUGUUAAUUCUUAUUAAUUAUACACUUAAAUAUGUUUUUAGUCUCAGGAAGAUUUUAUAUUUGAUUAUUUUUGAAUAAACAUUAUUAUUAUUAUUACCUUAAUUUCCAUUAAAUAAAUUAACUGUAAUCAAUAAAGUAAUCGUUUAAUUGUUAAUAAAUUAUCAAGUAUGA